rnacentral:lncRNA from 1 species
GGCCUGGAAGGGACCCCAUGUGGAGUCAGAGGGGCGGGGAAGGUGUUGGUGUCUCGGGGUUGUUCCCAGGGUGAGGUCCUGGGCCCCAGUCUGGGUGUGCAUGGCGGAGGAUAUGGCCGUGGGUCUGGGCGGGCCGGCCUCCCGCGUGCUCCCACCAGCUGUGCGUGGGCGGCUCUGUCUGCAGGGUCUUCGGAGACGCGGACGCCGGCCCCCGUCCUUAUCACCACAGGUCUCCCAGCCAGCGCUGGCCAGGGCCUUCAACCCAAGGGGACUCUGCUGCCCCGCCCGUUCGCGUGUUCUCCUUGCAGGAGGAGCACCCUCCUCAUCUUCCCCUUGCGGAGCCCAAGGGUUUUGCCUCCUUCCAUCCGGGCGACCCAACAGCACCCCUCAACCUAUGAGAAGCAGAGGUUUCUACUGAAGCCCACCCCCCGUAAUCCAAACCAGCUGACUCCCAAGGACACAGAAUUUCAGGAGGUAGGUUUUCUAUUUGUGAGAAAGCGGAAAGCAGGAAAACAUCUUGAAAAGAAAAAUUCACAUCCAACCAUUUCUGCAGAUUUCAUGGCGGAGGAUAUGGCCGUGGGUCUGGGCGGGCCGGCCUCCCGCGUGCUCCCACCAGCUGUGCGUGGGCGGCUCUGUCUGCAGGGUCUUCGGAGACGCGGACGCCGGCCCCCGUCCUUAUCACCACAGGUCUCCCAGCCAGCGCUGGCCAGGGCCUUCAACCCAAGGGGACUCUGCUGCCCUGCCUGUUCGCGUGUUCUCCUUGCAGGAGGAGCACCUCCUCAUCUUCCUUGCGGAGCCCAAGGGUUUGCCUCCUUCCAUCCGGGCGACCCAACAGGUGACCCUACCCCAGGCCUCCUGGAGACCAGCCCCCCACCGCACUCCCAGUUAGGGCAGUGAAUCCCAGCCCUCACCCUGCCCCCAGCGUUGUCUCUGGGAUGUGUCGGGGUGGUGUCCACAGAGGCCACCCGCGCUCCAGAGUUCCUGCCCCUGUGGGCCUGACGGGGGAUUGUCACCCAAGUUGCCAAGAUGGGCGUCUUGGGCCAAGGGGCUUCCCUGGGACCCGCCUGGCUGCCCUCCAUCAAGCCAGACCCCUGCCUGGCAGGGUGAGCAAGGGUUGCAGGAGGAAAACGGGCACGGAAGCAGCCAGGGGAGCAAUGUCCCGGGAGAGGGCGCAGUAGGGAGGAAAUGCCCGGAAGAGUGCUGGGCCAGCUGGGAGGGGCUACCGGGGCAGGAGACUGGGGAGGGG